rnacentral:lncRNA from 1 species
GGUGGCCUGAAGGUGGCUGGGCUUCCUGCGGCGCCUCUCCACUCUCCCGCGGAGCCCCUUGCCGCCCGCCAGACAUCAAGGUUGCAGGUGUCACCCGUACGAGAACCCGGGACAGCGACCGCCUGUCCUGAGCUGGGAUCCUUGAUGGACAGUGCCUAAGCAUGGAGGCAACUGCAGGUUUCUGGCCAGGGCCACUCUCUGGUGAAACUAAAAGGUCCAUGUGGAAGCACCUGACUGCCACCACCUGGUUCAGAAAUUACAAUUUGGGGACAGGAGGAGAGAUACAGGUGGGAAGUCACAGGAACUAAAGUCAAACUAAAGGAAAAUCUGUGGCGAGAAGGUCCAUGAAGUUCUACUGCUAAGGUCCCUGAAGUUGAUCUGGUUCCUCCCGCUUCUGGACUUUUCCUUGGACUCCAUGAGAUAAUCUAAUGUUCUUUCAAUAGUUUCACUCUUGUUGCCCAGGCUGGAGUGCAAUGGUGUGAUUUCAGCUUACUGAAACCUCCACCUCCUAGGUUCAAGAGAUUCUCCUGCCUCAGCUUCCCGAGUAGCUGGAAUUACAGCUUCAGAUCCAAAUGGUAUGCUAGCAUUCUCUUCCUAGCAGUCCACUGUCAAGACUUCACUGUUAGAAGAAGAAUCACACCAGAAUUAAGGUCAAAUGGAUUAUCUUAUUCUUAAUUGCUGAAAAUCACACCUCAUUGAAAUUUGCUUCAUAACUGAACCAUGAAUUUUUCAUCAAACAUACUUUUGUGUUUCUCCUCCUGGCAUUCUUUAUGAGGAACUUCUUUUUGGAGCUCACUGACUUCCUGUUCUAAUUUGGUCCAGUUAUUUUCUAGAAUUGCUACAUGACUGUCAUCCUGGGACAUCCUUCUGUUGGAAUCUGGGAGAGCUUACAACUUUUCAUAUCCUCUCUUCUUCUUUGUGUUUUUCACCCUGAAGUGUACAAAGUCAAAUGAAUUUCCUAGAAAAA